UACAGAGGUCUCAAGCGUUGUUCGGAUUCAUUGGGCGUAAAGGGUGCGUAGGCGGCGCAGUAAGUCGGGUGUGAAAUCUCGGAGCUUAACUCCGAAACUGCAUUCGAUACUGCCGUGCUUGAGGACUGGAGAGGAGACUGGAAUUUACGGUGUAGCGGUGAAAUGCGUAGAUAUCGUAAGGAAGACCAGUGGCGAAGGCGGGCCUCUGGACAGUUCCUGACACUGAGGCACGAAGGCCAGGGGAGCAAACGGG
rnacentral:rRNA from 1 species